UAGGAAAUUAAUCUUGUAAUGUUGUCCA
rnacentral:piRNA from 1 species